GUUAAAAUUAAUUUGACAGUCAGUUGGUCUUUGUUUGUGUAAUGUUCAUGGAAUUUUCUUGAGUGUGUUGAGUAGUCUGAUGGCCUGAGGGAAAAAGCUGUUUUUGAAUCUGGUGGUUUUGCUCCGCAUGCUGCGGUAGCGCUUGCCGGAUGGUAGGACGUGGAGCAUUUUGUGUGCUGGGUAAG